AGCAGCCGCGGUAAUUCCAGCUCCAAUAGCGUAUAUUAAAGUUGUUGCAGUUAAAAAGCUCGUAGUUGAAUUUCGGGAUUGACACAUCGGUCGUGCCUUAAGGGGUAUGAACUGGUGUAGUCAAUUUCUCACCUUCUGGAGAACCGGGAUGCCCUUAAUUGGGUGUCGCGGGGAACCAGGACCUUUACUUUGAAAAAUUAGAGUGUUUAAAGCAGGCAUUUUGCUUGAAUACAUUAGCAUGGAAUAAUAAAAUAGGACGGCAUGAUUCUAUUUUGUUGGUUUCUAGGAUCACCGUAAUGAUUAAUAGGGAUAGUUGGGGGCAUUAGUAUUCAAUUGUCAGAGGUGAAAUUCUUGGAUUUAUUGAAGACUAACUACUGCGAAAACAUUUGCCAAGGAUGUUUUCAUUAAUCAAGAACGAAAGUUAGGGGAUCGAAGACGAUCAGAUACCGUCGUAGUCUUAACCAUAAACUAUGCCGACUAGGAAUCAGACGAUGUUAAUUUUUAUGACUCGUUUGGCACC
rnacentral:rRNA from 1 species